UACGGAGGGUGCAAGCGUUAAUCGGAAUUACUGGGCGUAAAGGGUGCGUAGGUGGUUUGAUAAGUUAACUGUGAAAUCCCUGGGCUUAACCUAGGAAGGCCAGUUAAGACUGUUAGACUCGAGUAUGGGAGAGGGUAGUGGAAUUUCCGGUGUAGCGGUGAAAUGCGUAGAGAUCGGAAGGAACACCAGUGGCGAAGGCGGCUACCUGGCCUAAUACUGACACUGAGGCACGAAAGCGUGGGGAGCAAACAGG
rnacentral:rRNA from 1 species